rnacentral:rRNA from 1 species
AGCGAACGCUGGCGGCAGGCCUAACACAUGCAAGUCGAACGGAUCCUUCGGGAUUAGUGGCGGACGGGUGAGUAACACGUGGGAACGUGCCCUUUGGUUCGGAACAACUCAGGGAAACUUGAGCUAAUACCGGAUGUGCCCUUCGGGGGAAAGAUUUAUCGCCAUUGGAGCGGCCCGCGUCUGAUUGGCUAGUUGGUGAGGUAACGGCCCACCAAGGCGACGAACAGUAGCUGGUCUGAGAGGAUGAUCAGCCACACUGGGACUGAGACACGGCCCAGACUCCUACGGGAGGCAGCAGUGGGGAAUCUUGCGCAAUGGGCGAAAGCCUGACGCAGCCAUGCCGCGUGAAUGAUGAAGGUCUUAGGAUUGUAAAAUUCUUUCAGCGGGGACGAUAAUGACGGUACCCGCAGAAGAAGCUCCGGCUAACUUCGUG